UGGGGAAUCUUGGACAAUGGGCGCAAGCCUGAUCCAGCCAUGCCGCGUGAGUGAUGAAGGCCUUAGGGUUGUAAAGCUCUUUUGCCGGGGACGAUAAUGACGGUACCCGGAGAAUAAGCCCCGGCAAACUUCGUGCCAGCAGCCGCGGUAAUACGAAGGGGGCUAGCGUUGUUCGGAAUUACUGGGCGUAAAGCGCACGUAGGCGGAUUGUUAAGUCAGAGGUGAAAUCCCGGAGCUCAACUUCGGAACUGCCUUUGAUACUGGCAAUCUAGAGUCCGGAAGAGGUUAGUGGAAUUCCCAGUGUAGAGGUGAAAUUCGUAGAUAUUGGGAAGAACACCAGUGGCGAAGGCGGCUAACUGGUCCGGUACUGACGCUGAGGUGCAAAAGCGUGGGGAGCAAACAGGAUUAGAUACCCCAGCGGGCUGGCAAGGCGCAU
rnacentral:rRNA from 1 species